rnacentral:rRNA from 1 species
ACAUGCAGAGAACUUUACCAGAGAUGGAUUGGUGGCCUUCGGGAACGUCUGACACAGGUGCUGCAUGGCUAUCGUCAGCUCGUGUCGUGAGAUGUUGGGUUAAGUCCGUAACGAGCGCAACCCUUGUCCUUAGUUACCAGCACGUUAUGGUGGGCACUCUAAGGAGACUGCCGGUGACAACCGGAGGAAGGUGGGGAUGACGUCAAGUCAUCAUGGCCCUUACGGCCUGGGCUACACACGUGCUACAAUGGUCGGUACAAAGGGUUGCCAAGCCGCGAGGUGGAGCUAAUCCCAUAAAACCGAUCGUAGUCCGGAUCGCAGUCUGCAACUCGACUGCGUGAAGUCGGAAUCGCUAGUAAUCGUGAAUCAGAAUGUCACGGUGAAUACGUUCCCGGGCCUU